AGCAGCUCUUCAUACUCCCGGUCUUGUGAAUGUUCCAACUGUUGUUUUCCCUGUAUUGAGCAAUGGAUGAGUCAGGAUCACAAGAGAUCUGAUAGAGGUUUAGAAAGUCAACUUUUAGAAGACAAUUCCCUAGCCAUUUAUCUUUCCAGAAUUUGAUGAGUGUCCCAUUUCCUGCAGAAAAGUAGGCAUUCUGAUAAAAAUCAUCCCAGAGUCUGCUAAUGUAUUUCCAAGGUCCAACUCCAUGUGAGGCUCGGGAGAUUUUUGUACACCAAUGAUUUUGGGCUCCAUGCUUAGCUGUGACUAUCUCUUUCCAAAGUGUUUGGCUUUCCUGAGAGUAUCUCCAUAACCACUUCAAUAGUAAACUUUGGUUAUGUGCAACCAGAUUUUUUAUGCUCAGUCCACCUUGUAUCUUAGGCAUUGUGCAUUUAGACCAUUUUACAAGGUGGAAUUUGUGUUCCUUAUUGUUCCCUUCCCCACAAAAAAUUCCUCCUGAUUUUGUCCAGCAAUCUCAGUACCUUGCUAGGCAUAGGGAAUAAUGACAUAAUAUAUUUUGGAAUGUUGUCUAGAGUGUUGUUAAUGAAAGUAAGUCUACCCCCCAUUGAGAGGUACUGCAUCUGCCAGGAGGAUAGCCUUUUCUCAAACUUUUCUAUCACACUGCCCCAAUUGCAAGUAGCUCUAAACUUGGCACCCAAUGGAAGUCCUAGAUAUGUUGUUGGGAAGGAGCCAGUGUUGCAGCACAAAAGUUCUGCUAACUCUGCCAAAUUUGGGACGUCAUUGACAGGGUAUAUAACACUUUUGAGCAUGUUGAUAUGAAGUCCAGAUAAAGCUUCAAAGAUUAGUAGGGCAAUAUUAAGGUAAAGCACUUGUCUUGAUUCAGCCCCACAAAAAACUAAGGUAUCAUCAGCAUACAAAAGGUGCGAGACAUUGACUGAGUUUGCUCCUAUGCUGCCAACAUCAAAACCAUUGAUCCAUUGUUGUUCUUUGGCUUUAUCUAACAUUUUGCUAAGACCUUCCAUGGCUAGAAUAAAGAGAAAGGGUGAUAAUGGAUCACCUUGCCUUAGGCCUCUCUGAGGGGAGAAGAAGCCCACUGGACUCCUAUUAACCAGCACCGAGUAUUUAACUGUUGUGACACUGAAUUUGAUCCAUCUAAUCCACCUGUCUCCAAAUCCCAUCUUCUUUAGCAUAGCAAUGAGGUAUGACCAAUUGAGUUGAUCAAAUUGCCUUCUCUAUAUCCAGUUUGCAUAGGAUGCCUGGUUCCUCACUUUUCAUCCUCCAAUCUAGGACUUCAUUUGCAAUUAGGAUUGCAUCAGUAAUUUGUCUAUUUUUUAUGAAAGCAUUCUGAUGGUUAGAAACCAGCUUCCCCAUGACUCUUUUUAGCCUCUCUGCCAGAACUUUGGCUGCAAUCUUGUAUACACUGCCAAUUAAGCUAAUUGGUCUAAAAUCCUUUAGUUCAAUUGCUCCUUUUUUCUUUGGGAUUAGAGCUAUGAAAGAAGCAUUUGUGCACCUUACCAUGUAGCAGUGUUGAUGGAAGUGAUCAAGUGCAUCCAUUACAUCAGUUUUAAUGAACUCCCAAGCCUUCUGGAAGAAUGCCAUAGUGUAGCCGUCAGGACCAGGGGCCUUGUCUGGAGCACAUGACUUAAUUACUGCUAGGACCUCUUCCUCUUUAAAUGCCAGCUCAAGAUCUGUUUUCUCCUCUUCUGAAAUGCUUGCUAAACCUUCAAAUUCAGCAAAAGGUCUCCAGCUCUCCUGUUCAGUGUAUAGUUUCUCAUAGAAUUUCAGAAUUUCCCUUUUGAUAGAGUCUUUGUCUUGAAUAAUCUCUGGACCUACUUUGAGUUUGUCAAUGCAGUUGUUCCUCCUAUGAGAGUUAGCCAUCUUUUGAAAAUAUUUUGUGCUCCUGUCCCCCUCCUUCAACCACAAACACCUGGAUUUUUGCCUCCAUGAGAUCUCCUCAGCCUUUAUCAGUUGCUGAUAUUCCUGUUGUAGAGCUAACAUCAGUGAUUUCUCUGCUGUGGAAAGUGGUCUACGUUCGGCAAUUUUUUCAAUAGCAAGGUGUUCGUCUAAGAUUUUGUCCUUUCUCACCUCUAGUUUGCCAAAAACCUCCUUGUUCCAAUGUAUGAUGUCCUUCUUGAGAUUCUUUAGCUUCUGAACAAGUAUGAAAUCUGGACUACCACUAAUUAUAUAACUCUGCCACCAGGCCUUCACUUUGUCAAGAAACCCCUCAGCCUGGAGCCACAUGUUUUCAAACUUGAAGUAUGAGGUUGUUGCCUCCCAGUCACCAUUCUCGAGCAAAAUAGGUCUAUGAUCAGAAAUAAACUUUGGUAAGGCCAACUUGCUUAACAAUUUUGAAGCUGUCAUUCCACUCUGUUGAAAUUAAAAAUCUGUCUAUCCUUGAUGCUUGUGUGUGAUUCUCUCCCCUGGACCAAGUAUACUGAGCACCAUGUAAUGACAAGUCAAUGAUACAUAAGUCUUGGAUCAGUUCUGAGAAGUCUUUCAUUGCUUUUGUUCUUCUUACACAAUUGAGCCUUUCACUUUCAAACCUGCAUACAUUGAAAUCACCCCCUAAUACCCAAUGACCAUCCCAGAUUCCCCUUAUUCCAGCAAUUUCAUGCCAUUUCUUCUCUCUUAGGACUGGUAUGAGGGCCAUAUAUGCCAGUGAAUCACCAUCUGAAGUCCUCCUGAAGGGACUCCAUCAAACAUGAGAUGGAGAAUGUACCCACCUGGAUAUCCAUACAUUGCCACUGCCUUUUGUCCCACAACACUAUAAUUCCCCCCUUUGUGCCACAAGACUUUAGUUCAGCCAACCAAUCCACCUAUUUCCCCAUAUCUGAUGCAAGAGAUUAGCUGACCAUUCUUCUAUUUUGGUUUCCUGUAAACAAACUAAGUCUGCCUUCCAUAUGUGUAAAAGAGAUUUGAGUGUGCUCCUUUUAUUGCUGUCGUUCAGACCCCCGGCAUUCCAACUCAAAAUUUUUACUUUCAUCCUGAAAAGGAUUUGUAGUACCUACCCCUGCUUCCACUUGCCUGUUUUCCUUUCCCGUCAUAAUUGAUCCCACAUAUUAAUCUUUCCUGUUCCACCUCCCCUUUGCUUUUGAAAUCUUUUCCCGACUUGUGGCAUGGCUUCUGCUGCUGCCGUUGUUGUUGUUGCCUUCUCUGCUCCAUUCGCAAAAUUAUGUCAAGCAAUUCAUGCUCAAACCCAGUAACAUUAACCCCAAAAACCUUGCAUGCUUUGGCCAUAGUGAACUUUGACCACUUGGACUGCUCAAUUAAGGUUGGGGUAUGUACCAAUUGCUUUGAAGAAUUCUCAUUGUACCAAGGAAGAGGGAGAGCAUCACUCAGAGAGUAAGUAGAGAAUUCGGUAUCUGAGCUAUUGACCUGAGAAGGUUCAAUCCUUAGAGUUGGUUGGCAAGGAAGAUAGAGAGGAAAAUGGUUACACGAUGACAACCAAGGUAUCUGAGCUAUUGACCUGAGAAGGUU
rnacentral:lncRNA from 1 species